AACGUAGGUGGCGAGCGUUAUCCGGAUUUACUGGGCGUAAAGGGUGUGCAGGCUGCCCCUCAAGUGGUGUAUGAAAGGGCUCGGCUCAACCGGGCUAGGUUAUGCCAGACUGAGGGGCUAGAGAGCGAGAGCGGGACGUGGAAUUCCUGGUGUAGCGGUGAAAUGCGCAGAUAUCAGGAAGAACACCCGUGGCGAAGGCGGCUCUCUGGGACGGUACUGACGCUGAGACGCGAAAGCGUGGGGAGCGAACAGG
rnacentral:rRNA from 1 species